UGCGUAGGCGGCCCGUUAAGUCAGGGGUGAAAGGCUGUAGCUCAACUACAGAAUUGCCUUUGAUACUGACAGGCUUGAAAUAAAUUGAGGUUGGCGGAAUGUGACAUGUAGCGGUUAAAUGCAUAGAUAUGUCAUAGAACACCAAUUGCGAAGGCAGCUGACUAGAUUUUAUUUGACGCUGAGGCACGAAAGCGUGGGGAGCGAACAGGAUUAGAUACCCUGGUAGUC
rnacentral:rRNA from 1 species